rnacentral:lncRNA from 1 species
AUGUCUUCUAAUAGCCUUGAAUUAAUGAGGUGAUGGUUGAGCUGAAAUGGCUAAAUAGAAUUGUUUAGAUUGGCCUAAUUCGUCCAACUUGUGUGAAAGCUCUUAUGGUUGCUUGGGGAGCUCAAAGGCCAACUUGGGGAAGAGAAAUGAUCUACGUUGGGAACUGAAAGGGACAAGCUAAGUUCGGCCAACAAUUUGAUGAGCUAUUUAAAAUUUACUUUGAUUAGCUGAAAAAUUAUUGGAAGCAUUAAUGAGCAGCUUUGGAGACUCCAUCGGCCAUGCAAUGUGAAUUUAUGAUUCACCCUUGCAAUACUCGAAGGGAAGCUUGAAACCAGCAGCCCACUUUCUUUAAUUGCAACUCCCCUUUUAAAUACUGCUCAUUCAUUCUCUCAAUUGGGCGGCACCUUUAUGGCAUUUGAGGAACACGAAAAUGGCUCAUGGGAAAUAGAAAACAGCAACUCUUCUUUAAAUGAUGUCCAUGCAUGGAGGAGAAAUUCAGCAGCUCCUUUAUGACCAUCCCACGCAUGCUGGACAGCUCCUUUGCUGCACAAUACAAUUAAUUUCGUCCAUUAAAUGGCCAUAUGAAAAAGAACCAGCAACUCCUUUAUUGCUGCUGUUGAACACGAAAAAUUAACUAAUUAAUGCCAUGCAUGCAAGCUCCAGCAACUAAUUAAUGCCGUCCAUGCAUGGGAACACCUCAUUUAAUUCAUGUUUUUACUUCCCUUUAAAUACCGUUCCAUGCAUGGGAACUUCUCCUUAAUGCAUGUUUCCUUUUCCAUUAAGUAGCCGAAUUUCAAUGACCUUCUUUAAAUGCCGUUCCUUGCAUGUUAACAGCACCUUAAAUGCAUGUCUCCUUAGCCAUUAAGUAGCCGAAUUCAAUGACCUGCAGACACAAAAUAAAUUCGG